UGGGGUGUAGCUCAGUGGUAAAGUGGGUGCUUAACAUGUGUGAAGCCCUGAGUUGGAUCCUCAGCACCCAAA
rnacentral:tRNA from 1 species